AGAGUUUGAUCAUGGCUCAGAUUGAACGCUGGCGGCAUGCUUUACACAUGCAAGUCGAGCGGCAGCGCGGGGGCAACCCUGGCGGCGAGCGGCGAACGGGUGAGUAAUGCAUCGGAACGUGUCCCGUAGUGGGGGAUAACGCCGCGAAAGCGGCGCUAAUACCGCAUAUGCUCUACGGAGGAAAGCAGGGGCUCGCAAGACCUUGCGCUAUGGGAGCGGCCGAUGUCCGAUUAGCUAGUUGGUGGGGUAAUGGCCUACCAAGGCGACGAUCGGUAGCUGGUCUGAGAGGAUGAUCAGCCACACUGGGACUGAGACACGGCCCAGACUCCUACGGGAGGCAGCAGUGGGGAAUUUUGGACAAUGGGGGCAACCCUGAUCCAGCCAUGCCGCGUGCGGGAAGAAGGCCUUCGGGUUGUAAACCGCUUUUAGCUGGGAAGAAAAGGGCGGGGUUAAUACCCCUGUCACUUGACGGUACCGGCGGAAUAAGCACCGGCUAACUACGUGCCAGCAGCCGCGGUAAUACGUAGGGUGCGAGCGUUAAUCGGAAUUACUGGGCGUAAAGCGUGCGUAGGUGGUUCGUUGUGUCUGUGGUGAAAGCCCCGGGCUUAACCUGGGAAUGGCCAUGGAAACUGGCGAGCUGGAGUCUGGCAGAGGGGGGUGGAAUUCCGCGUAGCAGUGAAAUGCGUAGAGAUGCGGAGGAACACCGAUGGCGAAGGCAGCCCCCUGGGCUAAGACUGACGCUGAGGCACGAAAGCGUGGGGAGCAAACAGGAUUAGAUACCCCAGUAGUCC
rnacentral:rRNA from 1 species